UUUGCUUAGAAAUUAUUUUUCGACAGUUCAGGGGGAACUCUUGCACCUUCACGACUUGGCUUCACAAUCCUAUCCUUGGGAUUAACCAAUAGCGAAGCGAGAUAUCAGCCAGGUUGUGAGUGUUGUGUUUUCUUUUCUUUUUUCCUUAGUGGUUAUUAAUUUGGUGUUAGUGGCCUAGUGUGCUUGAGUUCUACCUUGUCUCUCAUUAGGCGAGUUGAUUCUCAGAGGGAGUAGCUCUUGGAGUUUUAUGUGACUUGUGGUUUCUGUAGUGUUUUCUUGUUUGUAUUUCUGUUUUGUUUGUUGCUUUUUCCAUUGUAACCUUUGGUACUCCUUGUACCAAUUGUUUUCUCUUUGUAAUCUAUUUGGGAUGUUCCAUUUCUAUUAAUACUAUUUUGCCAUUA
rnacentral:lncRNA from 1 species